UAAUACGGAGGGUGCGAGCGUUGUCCGGAAUCAUUGGGCGUAAAGGGCGCGUAGGUGGCUGGGCAAGCGUGCGGUGAAAGCUCGGGGCUCAACCCCGAGUCGGCCGUGCGAACUGCCGAGCUUGAGCACUGUAGAGGCAGGCGGAAUUCCGGGUGUAGCGGUGGAAUGCGUAGAGAUCCGGAAGAACACCGGUGGCGAAGGCGGCCUGCUGGGCAGUGGCUGACACUGAGGCG
rnacentral:rRNA from 1 species